rnacentral:rRNA from 1 species
GAUCAUGGCUCAGACGAACGCUGGCGGCAGGCCUAACACAUGCAAGUCGAACGCUCGUAGCAAUACGGGAGUGGCAGACGGGUGCGUAACGCGUGGGAACACACCCUUUGGUUCGGAAUAACUCAGGGAAACUUGAGCUAAUACCGGAUACGCCCGAGAGGGGAAAGAUUUAUUGCCGAAGGAUUGGCCCGCGUCUGAUUAGCUAGUUGGUAGGGUAACGGCCUACCAAGGCGACGAUCAGUAGCUGGUCUGAGAGGAUGAUCAGCCACACUGGGACUGAGACACGGCCCAGACUCCUACGGGAGGCAGCAGUGGGGAAUAUUGGACAAUGGGCGCAAGCCUGAUCCAGCCAUGCCGCGUGAGUGAUGACGGCCUUAGGGUUGUAAAGCUCUUUUACCUGGGAAGAUAAUGACGGUACCAGGAGAAUAAGCCCCGGCUAACUUCGUG